CUGAGAGAAAGAAAGGUAGGAUCUGUUCAGCUUAGAGAAGGCUUGGGGCCAGCUCAGCCACCCAUGUGUACAAAUAACCAAAGGGAGGGCACACAGAAGACUCAGGCUCUUAGCGGUGCAGCAGCAGGACUGGAAGCAAUGGCCACAUACUAAGACACAGGGGAUUCUAUUGUGAAGAUAAAGAAACACUUUCUCACCGAGGGUGACUGUGCACAUUCACAGGUUGCCCUGAGGGGUUAUGGGCACUCCAUCCUUGGUGGUAUCCAAAAGGCAUAUGAACACAAUGCUGGGCAUCUUGCUGCAGGUAGGAGGCUCUGCCUGAACAGAGACUUUGGACAAGAUGACCUCAGGAGAUUCCUUCUAACCUCUGCCUUUCUUUGAAACAUGUUGAGAGCUGUUAAUGUGGUCAUCAUCUUCAGCACUGUUUGGAGACCUGCAGAAUUCAUAUCAGUGCCUUGAGUGACAUCAAAUGCCAACCCAUGAGGACAACAGGAUAACAGUGUAAAUACUAAUCACCAUCAAAAUUAAGCCUUCACCCAUCUUACAAGGCACUGCCUUUUCUUCCACGGGGCUAGUUAAGGUGAGCAACACAUAGAAAGGUCUCCCUUUUGCAUCUUCAGCAAAAGCAAAGUGACAGACCUGCAAUGAUGGAAGAAACCAAUGCUGUCACUACAGUACGGAAGAUGCCUCCCCCAGGCAGGAUCUGCAGAGCCCGAGUGCUUUCUCUUCACCCUGAAGCCAUGCCCUUUCUUGGCUGAACCAUGCCACCUUUCUCCAAGAUGGAUUUAAAAGAUGUGCUUUCUUUUGUAACUUAGUGGACAUUUCCCUCUCAGUUGUCGCUGCACCACAAUGUCUGUGUCAUUAAGAAUAUUUUAAAAAUAUUUUAGAGUCUUCCAAAAAAUCUUCAAAAGUAGCUAAAGUAGUCUUGUUGACUUGUUGAACUUCAUUAGGUUCACAUGGGUCCACUUCUCAAGUUUGUCCAGGUCACGUUGGUUGGCAUCCCUUCCUUCUAUUGCACUGCUCAGCUUGGUAUAAUCAGCCACCUCGCUGAGGGUGCACUCAAUUCCACCAUCUGUCUCAUUAAUAAGGAUACGAAGCAGUACAGAUUCCAGUAUGGAACCAGUCAUUCAUCACUGGCUUUCAUCUGGACAUACUUGGGCACAGAGCAAUUUACAGCAACUCUUUGUCUGUGGCCACCCAGCCAAGAUCAUUCAGUACAUCCGCUUAUGGGAAUGAGAGAAUUUUAAUAAAGCGGGUGUAUUUAACUUUAGUUUGAUAAAAUAAUUACAGGAAAACCUGUCUCUGGUCAGUAUUAUCCAUUUGAUUGUAUUGCAAAUGACUGUCUGGCUGAGUUCCUUCUCUCUUCUCAUUACAAUUUCAGCGCUGUGGGAU
ensembl:lncRNA